AUUGAACGCUGGCGGCAGGCUUAACACAUGCAAGUCGAACGAGUGGCGGACGGGUGAGUAAUGUCUGGGAAUCUGCCCUAUGGAGGGGGAUAACUACUGGAAACAGUCGCUAAUACCGCAUACCAUCGGAUGUGCCCAGAUGGGAUUAGCUAGUAGGUGGGGUAAUGGCCUACCUAGCCGACGAUCCCUAGCUGGUCUGAGAGGAUGACCAGCCACACCGGAACUGAGACACGGCCCGGACUCCUACGGGAGGCAGCAGUGGGGAAUAUUGCACAAUGGGGGCAAGCCUGAUGCAGCCAUGCCGCGUGAAUGAAGAAGGCCUUCGGGUUGUAAAGUUCUUUCAGCGAGGAGGCGUUAAUCGCAGAAGAAGCACCGGCUAACUCCGUGCCAGCAGCCGCGGUAAUUC
rnacentral:rRNA from 1 species